rnacentral:rRNA from 1 species
GCCCGAAGGCGAGAUAAGUNGUAACAAAGUAGGUGUAACGGAAGUUGCACCUGU